GCUCUGUGAUGAGCCCCAUGCGUGUCAUCUGAGCCUGGCUUCCUUGUGGGCUCAGCCCAGGUGGUGUUCUACUGCCCAGGGCUGUAGUCUGGCCUGCCAGGGAGGUCUAGGCAAAGGAUCAGUCUUUGUGUUCUGAGAGC
rfam:Tupaia chinensis contig71210, whole genome shotgun sequence.